CCACAUCCCAUAUCUCUCGUUCUCUCGUUUCAGCUAAUGUGUAUUGUUUCAUCAGUUAAUGGUUGAAACUUGUUUACAAGCUGAAGCUAGUGAAAGAGAGACGUGGGAUGGUGGUAGAAUAUGCACGUAUUGUUUUUGUUCGUU